rnacentral:lncRNA from 1 species
CUAAGAGGAGGUUGUGUGGAAAUUUUCCUGCUGUCCAGCAAUUAGCAAAGACCUACAUUUGAGGGCAAUACAUUCUAUGUACCCCACAUUCUAAAGAAAGCAGUUGACUGUGAGCACUUGGAUUCUAGGUACCUCCACUGGAGCCUUACUAGGAAAGAGCACAGUUGUCCUUACUUCAAUCAACUACUGCUGUCUCCUCCCUCACUCCAUCAAUAACAUUCAAGAAAGGAUGAGAAAGGGAACUGAGACAUGAAUGAUGGAAGAAAUUAUUAGCUUACUACAGAAUGCAGCAAUCAUGGUUAGAGGCCAAGUGAAGUAGCAGCCUCCAAAGGGAAAAUUUUAGUGUCUGGGCUUUAGAGACCUGCAAGAAUAGGAGAUUGCAUCUUCUUCUCCAACCAAAUGAUUGCUGGCAGCUUUCCUGGAACUGACCUCAUAGUGGAGUAGAACGGAGUAGAAGAGGGAGUUCUUGGAAGGGCAUGUCAGAUUCCCAAACGUGAGGCAGCAGUUCCCUCGGCUUCACCUCAUUUGAGUAGCAAGAGGAAUUGGAACCAAUAGACCAAGCAACAUUUUCGUCUACAUUUUCAAAAGUUUAUUCUCUAUAUUUGUAUAUUAUUCUCCAU